GCGGGCGUAGCUCAAUGGUAGAGCCACAGCCUUCCAAGCUGAAGAUGAGGGUUCGAUUCCCUUCGCCCGCUCCA
rnacentral:tRNA from 1 species